AUACGGAGGGUGCAAGCGGUAUUCGGAAUCACUGGGCGUAAAGGACGCGUAGGCGGGUUGGCAAGUCAGAUGUGAAAUCCUACAGCUUAACUGUAGAACUGCAUUUGAAACUGCUAACCUAGAGUAUGGGAGGGGGAGAUGGAAUUAGUGGUGUAGGGUAAAAUCCGUAGAUAUCACUAGGAAUACCGAAAGCGAAGGCGAUCGCCUGGAACAUAACUGACGCUAAGGCGUGAAAGCGUGGGGAGCAAACAGGAUUAGAUACCCUAGUAGUCC
rnacentral:rRNA from 1 species